UCCCUGAUGGCUCAGUUGGUAAAGAAACUGCUUGCAGUGCAGAUUCCCAGGUUCGAUCCCUGGGUAGGGAA
rnacentral:tRNA from 1 species